UCCACCGAUUCUCCGAUUUGACAUGGGUAUGGGUGUGACUAAUACGAGUCACCGAUCCGUUUUUUUAAACCUUGGUUUCACCAUGUUCCCUUGACUUGUGAAUGGGAUCUAACCAUUAUACUAAGAAAUCCAUGACUUUUGUCAUUGUGAAUACCAAGGUUUAAGAAAAAGGAUCGGUGACUCGAAUCAGUCACACUUAUACCCAUGUUGGAUUAGAGAAUCGGUGGA
rnacentral:pre_miRNA from 1 species